CUAAAACAACAGUGUCUAGGCCUGGCUUCCCAUUAUCCCUGUACAAGUUUAAUUAUUUUCYUCUUUUUGCUGAUGGCUUUCUUCCAGACAUCAAUUUUCAUACUAUACAAGAGAUUCCAUUGGAAACUGCCUCUUAUGGAAGCAAAUUGUAUUUGAAAUGCACAGUAACAUUGUUUAACUUUUGGAGGAGUUGCUUUAUUCUUCACUGUUCACCACCAGGCCUGAAAACAAAGAAAUAUGGCAGAAAAAAAAAGUCAGUUUUAAACAUCUGAUCCUGAUGACUUACUACUUCAAGAAAUUAAAAGUGGAAGUGCUCUUGCAAUAGAUGAAGCCUGUAAAAUGCCUGUGCACACCAGUUUCCUUCAGACUGCAAAGAGACUGCAGGGCCCAGUUCUCAGCUCCAGCAGAGCCACGGAUUUCUCCCAGCUGCGCACGCAGACCUGUUGACGUGCGGAAUUACUGUUGAUCCCGCCACAAAGCUGUGCGUGUCGAUGACAAGUGUUAUGUGCGUGACCCCGUGCAUCUCCUGGGGGUCACAGUCGUGUUCAGCAAACAAGUACGAGCUUCCCCUGGUGCUGCUGAGCCGGUAACCGUGUGAUUGUUACGGUGAAACUGCAGAGAAGCUAGCUUUGUUUUCUCGUGCUUACCCAUUUACAGAAAGGAGUAGCUUAGACGGUGAUUUGGGGGAUCUGCAUGGUUGGUUGUUGAUGAUUAAUGGCAAAUAACAAAGCUGAAAGAACAGAGUUGAUUUUAUUUUUUCUUUCAAAUACCCAGCAGUGUAUGAAAAGCUGGAAAAUCUUACUCUCUCCUGCUGUCAGAUAUUGUACUUCUAUUUGGACCACCUUUUGUGCAUGUUGCAAAAUUAACUAAAACAUCAAAUCAUAUGGACAUAAUAACACAUUUUAAUACAACUGAUUCAUAUCUGGCUGCUUUAUUGGAAAUACGUACUCCUGGCUGACAAUAUUAAAUGCAUUAAAACAAAUAUAUUUAUCUUCC